UGCGUAGGUGGUAAUGUAUGUCGGAUGUGAAAUCCCAUGGCUCAACUGUGGAACUGCAUUCGAAACUGCAUAACUAGAGUACAGGAGGGGAGAGCGGAAUUCUUGGUGUAGCGGUGAAAUGCGUUGAUAUCAAGAAGAACACCGGCGGCGAAGGCGGCUCUCUGGAAUGUUACUGACACUGAUGCACGAAAGCUGGGGGAGCAAACAGGAUUAGAUACCCUGGUAGUCC
rnacentral:rRNA from 1 species